rnacentral:rRNA from 1 species
UGCCUUACACAUGCAAGUCGAACGGUAACAGGUCUUCGGAUGCUGACGAGUGGCGAACGGGUGAGUAAUACAUCGGAACGUGCCCGAUCGUGGGGGAUAACGGAGCGAAAGCUUUGCUAAUACCGCAUACGAUCUACGGAUGAAAGCAGGGGACCGCAAGGCCUUGCGCGGACGGAGCGGCCGAUGGCAGAUUAGGUAGUUGGUGGGAUAAAAGCUUACCAAGCCGACGAUCUGUAGCUGGUCUGAGAGGACGACCAGCCACACUGGGACUGAGACACGGCCCAGACUCCUACGGGAGGCAGCAGUGGGGAAUUUUGGACAAUGGGCGAAAGCCUGAUCCAGCCAUGCCGCGUGCAGGAUGAAGGCCUUCGGGUUGUAAACUGCUUUUGUACGGAACGAAAAGACUCCUUCUAAUAAAGGGGGUCCAUGACGGUACCGUAAGAAUAAGCACCGGCUAACUACGUGCCAGCAGCCGCGGUAAUACGUAGGGUGCAAGCGUUAAUCGGAAUUACUGGGCGUAAAGCGUGCGCAGGCGGUUAUAUAA